AGUGAACGCUGGCGGUAGGCCUAACACAUGCAAGUCGAACGGCAGCACAGUAAGAGCUUGCUCUUACGGGUGGCGAGUGGCGGACGGGUGAGGAAUACAUCGGAAUCUACUUUUUCGUGGGGGAUAACGUAGGGAAACUUACGCUAAUACCGCAUACGACCUACGGGUGAAAGCAGGGGAUCUUCGGACCUUGCGCGAUUGAAAGAGCCGAUGUCGGAUUAGCUAGUUGGCGGGGUAAAGCCCACCAAGGCGACGAUCCGUAGCUGGUCUGAGAGGAUGAUCAGCCACACUGGAACUGAGACACGGUCCAGACUCCUACGGGAGGCAGCAGUGGGGAAUAUUGGACAAUGGGCGCAAGCCUGAUCCAGCCAUACCGCGUGGGUGAAGAAGGCCUUCGGGUUGUAAAGCCCUUUUGUUGGGAAAGAAAAGCAGCAGGUUAAUACCCCGCUGUUCUGACGGUACCCAAAGAAUAAGCACCGGCUAACUUCGUG
rnacentral:rRNA from 1 species